UAGUCCACGCCGUAAACGAUGAGUACUAGUUAUUAGAGGUAUUGACUCCUUUAGUGACGCAGCUAACGCAUUAAGUACUCCGCCUGGGAAGUACGGUCGCAAGACUAAAACUCAAAGGAAUUGACGGGGGCCCGCACAAGCGGUGGAUUAUGUGGUUUAAUUCGAAGCAACGCGCAGAACCUUACCAAGGCUUGAAAUCCUAGGAAUCCGAUGUAAUGGUCGGAGUGCUCGCAAGAGAAUCUAGUGACAGGUGCUGCAUGGCUGUCGUCAGCUCGUGUUGUGAAAUGUUGGGUUAAGUCUCGCAACGAGCGCAACCCCUAUCUUUUGUUGCCAGCAUUAAGUUGGGCACUCUAGAGAGACUGCCCGGGUUAACCGGGAGGAAGGUGGGGAUGACGUCAAGUCCUCAUGGGCCCUUAUGCCUUGGGGCUACACACGUAAUACGAUGGUGCAUACAGAGGGGACGCGAUCGGGGUGACC
rnacentral:rRNA from 1 species